AUGGCUUCACUUCAUAACCUAACACUUUCUGAAAAAGUGCUGACAAAUCAUCCCAGCUGGACAAAGUUUAAUUUCCUAGAUAUGUCUCUAGAUGACAUUAUAAUCUAUAAAAAGUUAGAAGAGAUAAACGCUGAAAAAGAAUAAAAGAACCAUAGUAAAAAGGAUUCACCUUCAAGACAGCAAUCAAAUGCUCAUGGACAUCACCAGCAGAGAGGAUACCCAAGAUUCAGAAGCAACUCUGAGGAAGGAAAUUAUGAUUAAAAAAAAAAAAAAAACCAUCCCAAGAAACUUCUGGAUUCAAGUCUGGACGGCACCCUUUAAAUGGGCAGCCUUUAACUGAUCAG
rnacentral:lncRNA from 1 species